ensembl:misc_RNA Gm23539 predicted gene, 23539
GCAUGUGAGGGCGAUGUGCCUGUGAUAUCUGUCACCCGUUGUUCUCUAGGGUUGACUCUGCUAACUGGGCUAAGCAGGUACCACCUUCCCCCCUCAUGCCUCUAUGUGCAUCCCUCCUGAAUCUGUGCACUCAAUCAAGAGGUUGGCCUUCGCCAAUAGAGAAGAGCUAAUCUUCUUGCUCCUUAGCUAGUCUCCAAGCAAACUCUCAUGAGUAGCCACAAUAA